rnacentral:misc_RNA from 1 species
GCAGCGGUGACUCUGCAACCGCCGGUGAAGCUGAAGUGGCAAUAUUACAAGAGGAACACCACGUGCCCUGAGGCAGAGGUGUAUAUAAGACACCAAGUAGAGUUGUUUUGGCAAAAGGAUAAGUCCAUUACCCCAAAGCUUCUCCGCCUGCUCUACUCAGAUUGCUUUGUCUCUGGCUGCGAUGCAUCAAUUCUUCUUGAUGGACCAAAUUCAGAGAAAACUGCACCACAAAACCGGGGACUCGGUGGAUUUGCACUCAUAGACAAGAUCAAAGAGGUUCUUGAAGAACGGUGCCCUGGAGUCGUCUCUUGCGCUGAUAUUCUUAACCUAGCAACCAGAGAUGCUGUUCAUUUGGCGGGUGCGCCAUCUUAUCCUUUAUAUACAGGUAGAAGAGAUGGAAUGACAUCAAGUGCUGCAUCGGUAGACCUCCCAUCACCGUCCAUCCCAUUGUCAGAGGCAU